rnacentral:sRNA from 1 species
AUAUUUAAUUUAGUAACUUUUGUAUUUAAUAAAAUUUCAAUCAUACACAUUCAAUUUUACAAUAUAUUUUAAUUAUAUAUUUCAUCAUAAUAAGCUAUCUUGUUAUUCUAUACACUCCAUCUUUCUUUUUUGAUAAUGUGUAUGGAACAAAAGCCACCUAUGAUUUAUUCAUAACAGAAAAGUACACUCGAACACUUUUUUAAAACAACAUCCCAUGUGUAUCCUUUAACAAUGUCGAACUUGCAACUAUCGGCCUAACAUCAAAUAAUUGCAGAGUAAGCGGUAACUAAAAUGCAUAGUUUGCUAAUCCAUUCAGUAUGCGAUUAGUUUUUCUAUACACAUGAGUAAUCUGAACUAUCUGGUCCUUAUACACUCCAUCUUAUUAACGAUAUUUGAAGUUUAAAUAGUAAGUCACAUACUUUUUUAUUAUUUAAUUUAGUAUUUCCUUAAACCAAAUUUCAAUCUUACAAAUUCGAUUUACAAUACAAUUUAAAUAUCUACUUUA